CCCUUAGAUGUUCUGGGCCGCACGCGCGCUACACUGACAGGGCCAGCGAGUUUUUUUCCUUGACCGGAAGGUCUGGGUAAUCUUGUGAAACCCUGUCGUGCUGGGGAUAGAGCAUUGCAAUUAUUGCUCUUCAACGAGGAAUACCUAGUAAGCGUGAGUCAUCAGCUCGCGUUGAUUACGUCCCUGCCCUUUGUACACACCGCCCGUCGCUACUACCGAUUGAAUGGCUUAGUGAGGUCUUGGGAUUGGCUUCGGGGAGCCGGCAACGGCACCCUGUUGCUGAGAACUUGAUCAAACUUGGUCAUUUAGAGGAAGUAAAAGUCGUAACA
rnacentral:rRNA from 1 species